CUCCAAACCUCAUGUGAAAAUGUAUUUUCUGUUAUAAUUUCAGAUAUGAUAAGCUAAUAUUUUGGUAACUGUGGUCGGGGGCCUGGCUCUUUGGUUCUGCAGCUUUAGUUGCUGUCAGUCUGUACCAAACCAGCUUUUCCCAGACCUAUAGAAACCACCAGGCUGAGCUCUUCCUUGAGCUGCCUUUGCAGAUACAGGUGUGGACAUCUCCCAGUGUCUGAUGCUCAUGUAUAAUACUGCACACAUUCCCAGCUUAGUGGGAACUUCCUACUGCUCUAGAACCCUGAUAGCUGCACUACCACUCCCAGCUGCCUGUAACAUAAACUGGCCAUUCUCCAAAAUUAACUAUUUACUGAUACCUUACAAGGACCAACAAUUUUAACUGUGGCCCUUUAAUAUUGUGCAAGAUGAGACUUGCGAUUCCUGUUUAGUUCUAAUGUAGGCGCCAGUCGCUGGUUGCUGAAAGACGAUCUGGGACAUGUUGGAAAUGCAGGACUGUUGCACUGUGUGCGUUGUUCUGAGCCCAUGUGUGGGGGUGGGCUGUGAGCUUGCAACUAUUGGGAAUAAAAGUCUGUCGAACAUUGGUGUGUGUCUAUGUGCUACUUUCUGUUGUUGGUUGCGAGGCUUAAAGGGGUAUAUUUAUCAUGUUGUGUAAAAAGUGGAGUGAAACAUUAAUGGUGAUGUUGCCCAGCGCAACCAAUCCGGUAAUGUUUUACUGCACUUUUUACACAGCAUGAUAAAUAUACCCCUAAGUCUAAAGUUGGCAGUGGGUGCUGUACUAUGUUUUCCUAUCCCUUUAGCCAUCAUGUAUGAACUGUUAAGCCUUCCUCACUUUGAUGGCUAGUUUACCAAAUGUUAUCUUUUUAACUUUGUUGGCAGCUGUUAAGACAUUAUACUGUAAUUUUCCCUUAUAUAGCGCCUACAUGUUCAGCAGUACUUUAGGGGUUGUCCCCAUCUGUCCCUGUUCUAUCGGAGCUGGCAAUCUAUUGCAUGCAGUAAGGUCAGUUUUAUUAGGAGCCUGCCUGUAAGUUUUUGAAAUGUGGGAAGAAACUGGAGUCCCAGAAAAAAACCAUGGAGGUACUUGGAAGAUCAUAGAGACCAUUGUAGUGCCGCUGGCUGCUGUGUCUGAAGUAGCUCUGUGGGGUGAGUACAAACCCAGGUACAAUGAGGGCUGCACACUGCCCUUCUGUUGUAGACCACUGUCUAUGGUACAGUUCUUUACAGUUCCUCAGUCACAUUAUAAACUGCUCCUCGGCUGAAUUCUUUGCAUUGCUAAGCCUUCUCAACCAAGAUGCUUUAUUCUUUUUAGGUCCAAGGAAAUUCAUUUGACGUCACAAUGCAAUGGGACUUCAAGAUCUGUCUGCGGUAACUCUUUUUCCUUUUGCCUUUUUGAAAGUGAUUUUAAAAGGUACCCAAUCUUAUUUUUCUACUGAAUAAAAAAUAAAAUCUUUGGCAUGACUA